UUUUGAUGUGUCGAUUCAAGUAUGAGUGAAAAUUAAUAAUUUAUAUUGUUUGAUGUGUCAACAUCAUCUCUGCCUUUGGCCUGCAGGAUAUAUCGGUGAAUUUGAGUAUGUAGAUGAUCACAGAUCAGGAAAAAUUGUGGUUGAGCUGAAUGGAAGGUUGAACAAGUGUGGUGUCAUUAGUCCUCGUUUUGAUGUUGGUGUCAAAGAUAUUGAGCCCUGGACUGCUAGAUUGCUCCCCUCAAGACAGGUUGGCAUCCAAAACCCACUAUUUUUUUUAUAAAAAAAAAAAAAAUGAUCUUAAAAAUGAACUUGGCAAACUGCAAGGGGCCAAUCAUUAUUCUUUGAGUAUGAUUUCUUGGGGUGACUAAUGAGUGCUAUUUGCAGUUUGGAUAUAUUGUCUUGACAACUUCUGCUGGCAUCAUGGAUCAUGAAGAAGCUAGGAGAAAAAAUGUUGGUGGCAAAGUUCUUGGUUUCUUUUACUAGUCACAGUUUUUCCUAAUGACGGGU
rnacentral:lncRNA from 1 species